AAAGGAAUAGACGGGGGCCCGCACAAGCGGCGGAGCAUGCGGAUUAAUUCGAUGCAACGCGAAGAACCUUACCAAGGCUUGACAUAUACCGGAAACGGCCAGAGAUGGUCGCCCUGCUUGCAGUCGGUAUACAGGUGGUGCAUGGUUGUCGUCAGCUCGUGUCGUGAGAUGUUCGGUUAAGUCCGGCAACGAGCGCAACCCUCGUCCUAUGUUGCCAGCGGGUUAUGCCGGGGACUCAUGGGAUACUGCCGUGGUCAACACGGAGGAAGGUGGGGAUGACGUCAAAUCAUCAUGCCCCUUAUGUCUUGGGCUUCACGCAUGCUACAAUGGCCGGUACAGUGGGUUGCGAUACCGCGAGGUGGAGCGAAUCCCAAAAAGCCGGUCUCAGUUCGGAUUGGGGUCUGCAACUCGACCCCAUGAAGUCGGAGUCGCUAGUAAUCGCAGAUCAGCAACGCUGCGGUGAAUACGUUCCCGGGCCUUGUACACACCGCCCGU
rnacentral:rRNA from 1 species